rnacentral:rRNA from 1 species
GAUGAACGCUGGCGGCGUGCUUAACACAUGCAAGUCGAACGGGAAACCUAUUAUUGAAACUUCGGUUGAUUUAAUUUGUUUCUAGUGGCGGACGGGUGAGUAACGCGUGGGUAACCUGCCCUAUACAGGGGGAUAACAACCAGAAAUGGUUGCUAAUACCGCAUAAGCGCACAGGACCGCAUGGUCCAGUGUGAAAAACUCCGGUGGUAUAGGAUGGACCCGCGUUGGAUUAGCUUGUUGGUGGGGUAACGGCCCACCAAGGCGACGAUCCAUAGCCGGCCUGAGAGGGUGAACGGCCACAUUGGGACUGAGACACGGCCCAGACUCCUACGGGAGGCAGCAGUGGGGAAUAUUGCACAAUGGGGGAAACCCUGAUGCAGCGACGCCGCGUGAAGGAAGAAGUAUCUCGGUAUGUAAACUUCUAUCAGCAGGGAAGAUAGUGACGGUACCUGACUAAGAAGCCCCCG